UACGUAGGGUGCAAGCGUUAAUCGGAAUGACUGGGCGUAAAGGGUGUGUAGGUGGUUUAAUAAGUUAGGUGUGAAAGUCCUGGGCUUAACCUGGGGAUGUCGCUUAAGACUGUUAAGCUAGAGUACUGGAGAGGGAGGUGGAAUUUCCGGUGUAGCAGUGAAAUGCGUAGAUAUCGGAAGGAACAUCAGUGGCGAAGGCGACUUUCUGGACAGAUACUGACACUGAGACACGAGAGCGUGGGGAGCAAACAGG
rnacentral:rRNA from 1 species